rnacentral:lncRNA from 1 species
GCGCAAACCUGACCCUAUUUGUGAGAAGAGUGGCUUGAGUAGGGGGCGGAACCACUGAAGCAAACUGAGGCGAGGGACUUGCGGUCAGGCCAGGGGAGGCCCUCCUGGUUUCCCCAGAUGGCCCUGGUUUUAGCUUUUACACCACAAUCAGACUAGUUAUGAAAUCCUCAUGAAAAAUCAGCUGCGUUUCCACACAUGGACUACAGCAUUUAGAAAAUACCACUGUUAAAAUACGAAAGCAUGCACAAGCAGAAGGAUGCCACCAGUAGAUUCAAACCUUUUGGAAAAAAAAUGAGCCUUUAUUCAAAGUAAUUAAGUAAGACUCAAAUCAAUGUAGAAAUGUAUUAGAUUCAUGGAUUGAAGGACUCCUUGUAAAAACUUCAACUCUUCCCAAACCUUGUUUCAAGAAUUCAGUUUUUCAUGGAAUUUGACAAGUACAUUCUCAAAUUAUAUAGAAUUUCAAAAAUUGCCAGUAUAUUGUUGAGAAAGGAGCAGAUGGAGAGAAUCAUUCUUCCUGACAUUAUUAGUUAAUAUAAAUCUACAAUAUUUAGGAUGGUAUAGGCUGGUACUGACUGAUAUAAAUAGAUCAGAACAGAAAGAAACAGAAUAAAUGGCCCUAAAAUAAUAAAAACCUGUAUUUAUGAAAAAACUAGUUUUAUUGUACAUAAGCCAGUACAAAACCGUCUUCAAUAAAUGGUGCUAGAGCAACUAAUUCAUAUUUAUUUUGUAAAGUAAAAUAUAUACUUAUUCUAUGUACCUAUCUCCCAAAAAAAUUAAACCCACAUGGAUUACAGAUUUGAAUGCAAAGUCAAAAAUUUAAAAAAUGGUAGGAAAAAGUGGCAGAAUAUUUAGUUUCCCAAAUAAAGGAGUUCAUAAACAAGUCUGUGAUGCCCAAACUAAAAGGAAAACAAAUAUUGUUAACUUGGUUUACAUAAAAUUAAUAAAUUAUAUUAAACAAAAGGCACCAUGAAGACAUUAACCACUGGGAGAAGAUAUUUGCAAAACAUAUAACCCAAAAGAGUUCAUAAUAUAUAAACAUGUUACAUAAAAAACUGAUAAAACCAAUUAAAAAGGACAAACGUGCACACGCGUGCACACACACACACACAUUAGGAAAAUGAGCAAAAAACAUAAGCCAUCAUUGUACAGAAGGGAAAAUAGAAAUGUCCAUAAAAACAUGAAAAUAAACGGGACCUUAGUCAUCAUAAACAUGAAAAUUAAAGCCACAGUGAUUUAGCAUUUCACAUAUGGUAAUAUAAAAUGGUAAAAUAAUUUUGGACAGUAAUUUAGCAUUUCUUAAAAAUGAUGACAUGCACACAUGCUUUGACCAAGUACCUCUUCUCCCAGGCAUGUGUCCUGGAACCUCCUGUUUAGGAGCACUAGAUUAACAUGAAGAGAUUUGCGUCUGUUAUGAGUUAUUGCCACCCAGCUCUGAGACCGCCAUUCUUGACCCUGCUUUGUGAUAUGGAGAUGGGCCCUGUGAACAGUUCUCUAGCUGCUGUCUCAAAGUGAGGCUCUGUCUCUAGACAGAGCUAGGUGGGGCACUGUAAAACAGUCGCAGGGGAGAGGUGCUCCCUUUUUUUGGUGCUUUUGUGCUGCUUGUAGCAUGGCAGCCAGCAAGUUGGUGUGCAAGAGGCUCAGUAGCAUUAAUCUCUGUGACUCUGAUGGGCCAGCUGCAUCCUGAGCCCCUGAAAACUUCUUGACUUCUUGGUGCACUGGACCAAUGGACCGGCUCUACCCACGUCUUCCAGCAAGUCCCUUCUCCCAGCAGGUACUGCUCCUGCGCAGUAAAGCCUUCUCCAAAGAGGCGGGGGUCUCAGCCUGGUUCUUCCUUGUUCCUCGUCCUCUGAGGUAGCAACUGCCUCAUCUUUUCCAUCUAUGGAGUGUGGAAUAUGUGCCCUACUUCAUUCAGGAAUGUUGGACAAACCAGCUAUUUAGAGAGUGAAGGAGAGGAACUUCCGAGAGCAACCGGCCCCCAAGAGAAACCCAGGGACUCCUGCCCUUCGGCAGCUUUGUCCAUGUGCUGCUCACACCAAAAAGCACUCGAGGGUGACCUGCACCAAAAAUGCAUUGCCGUAGUCUGGGCACAGUGGAUCACGCCUGUAAUCCCAGCUCUUUGGGAGGCCAAGGCACUGUGCUAAGUUGGACUUACAGAGAUGAAUAAGAUUUGGCCACAUCUUCAAGGAGCUCAGACCUUCAUGGACGUACCAAAUAUAUACAGAACUAACUCUACUGCUUAUCAUAAUGAGAGCUGUGCUAUGGAUAUUUGAAAGUUAGAGAGAUUUAUUUUCAACAGAAUAAUAAAGUCAACUUUCACAAACUGGUGACAGAUGAUCUGGGCCUUGCAGACAGGGGAGGACUGACAGAUUGAGAAGAGUAUUUGGUUAAAAACGGAUCAUAAACUGGUAUAAAUAUCUAAACAAACUCAUGAGAAUGAGCAGAGUCAGACACAAUAAAAUAAUUCAAAGAUAUAUCAGAUAAACCUGGACCCAAAAGUCAUGACUUUUUCUUUUCAGUUAACUCUGAACAAUUUACAAUAACUUCCUCAAUUAUUGUUUGUCUCAUUUUAACAUUUUGUAAUAACACCUAUGUCUCCAUAUUGGUAUGAAGAUUAAAUGAAAAUACAUCUAUGUUAGAUAGUCCCUAAGUUUCUGUCCCUGAUAUAAGUCCACCCUCCCCACCAUCAUGUGAUCACACGCAGGUGCACAUGCACAGAUGUAUACAUGCAUGCCGUUAUGGGGACAGUAAUUGCAAAUAUCAAUACUGUUAUGGUUGUUACUUCAGCCAUUGCACAAGUGUAGACCUCUGGAUCAACACACAUACGUAUGUGUAUGUGUAACAAAUAUAUGGCUAAUAAUGCAUAGGUUUCAUAGCUAUACCUUGAAAUCAAUUUAUUAAAGGGAUGUGUCCUUCCCAUGCUGACUCACCUACUGCGGCCCAAAAGCAACAACGUAAACUGCCCUGGAUAAAACAUCUGCAGACAAGAGAUCUCUAAGCUAAGCUACAGCUUCAUCAAGCAUGGAGUUAUCUCAUUUCAUAGCUUCACACACACAAAGGCGCGCGCACACACACACACACACACACACAGCUCUCAGCUGGAGACCGUCAGGGAAAACAAGUACCAGUGAGACCUGGGGAUCUUCAUUUGAUUUUGUCUACUGGGUGAGGCUGUGUUGAAAACACUUUGACAGAGGGCUCUUCUCUUGGGGCUCAUCAAAUAUUGCUGGUAGAGGGUUUGCUUGCUUUAAAUAUUCCUUUCCUCAGGUAACGAAGAAUACCAUGUAAUUUGUAAUGAUAACUUGGAUAAUGAAUGCACACUGUAGUCAGCCAUUACCAGUGGUAAUUGGUCUUCCUUUCAUCUCCUGUCAAGCAGAGUGGUUAGGAUUAGGACCAAAAGGCAGCUAUCAUCUCUCUCAUUUCCUGACUCAGACAAAAGGCAAAAAAAAAAAGGUGCCUGCUUGUGCUGAUAGGUGUCUGAUCAAAGCGGCUGAAAGCUGUCAGAAGCCAGCCAGCCUCAGCACCUGACUACUCCUUAAUGCAGCUUUGCCUUUGAUGUACAGGCAGUCCAACCGGGGUUCUAUUUAUGUAAAAAAAAAUAAUCAGGAUUGUAAUAGAACAGGAGAAAGUGUCAUUUUCUAUUUUGAUUCCAGUUUUGCAGUCUGACACCUAUAGGAAAUGUGGACUAAUUCUGUCCAGAGUAUGGUGUGUGUGUGUGUGUGUGUGUGUGUGUGUGUGUGUGUGUGUGUAACUCAAUAAAAUAAAAUAUCUUUGAAACUUCAUCAAAUACAUUUGGCAGUGAGCAGAAGUUAGAUUGCUGGUAGAAAGAAAUUAUCCUUCUUGGAAAGUAAAAAAAAAAUGCUUAAGUAAAAUUGCAGCAGUUUUGACAUGUGUAUUUUAUGUUUCAGAAAUUCUACAGGUUAUAGGUUUAUAAAUGGAGAACUGGUCUUGGAUUUAAAUGAAUUGGCAUCGUAUCUCAGACUUCUAGCUUUCUACCCAUGUGAAUUUAGGUGCGUACUAAUCACAUAUGUGUUUUAAGUUUAUCACUGGCUAUAUACAUGGUUACUUUUGUAUAUGCCUGUGCAUUGAAUGAAAAUACCUGGCAUGUGGUUGUUAUAAGCAAUAGACAGUUUUUGGCCAGAGAGCCAGGCAGACAAGUGUUAAUAUCACUUAAGCCCUCUGUGUCUCAAGUUCAAAAUUUCUAAAAUGAGUGAAUAUAAUAUUUGUUUGAAUUAAAGUAUACAAAGCAUGUAUCUCAGUGUCUAAGACAUUGUAAGACACCAAUAAAUGUCCAGUAUUUCUGUUGUUGUUGGUAUUUAUUUUUUAUUAAGGGAUUCUUGAAUUAAUACACCAUCCCUAGGGAAUUGCUGCCCUGUUUUCCUCAGCACUGUGAGCUUCUCCACGAACAAGACCGCUGUCUUUUAUGUCUGGGAUAGUUUGUUGAAUGAGU